GACGAACGCUGGCGGCGUGCUUAACACAUGCAAGUCGAACGAUGAUGCCCAGCUUGCUGGGUGGAUUAGUGGCGAACGGGUGAGUAACACGUGAGUAACCUGCCCCUGACUCUGGGAUAAGCGUUGGAAACGACGUCUAAUACUGGAUAUGACUGCCGGCCGCAUGGUCUGGUGGUGGAAAGAUUUUUUGGUUGGGGAUGGACUCGCGGCCUAUCAGCUUGUUGGUGAGGUAAUGGCUCACCAAGGCGACGACGGGUAGCCGGCCUGAGAGGGUGACCGGCCACACUGGGACUGAGACACGGCCCAGACUCCUACGGGAGGCAGCAGUGGGGAAUAUUGCACAAUGGGCGAAAGCCUGAUGCAGCAACGCCGCGUGAGGGAUGACGGCCUUCGGGUUGUAAACCUCUUUUAGUAGGGAAGAAGCGAAAGUGACGGUACCUGCAGAAAAAGCACCGGCUAACUACGUGCCAGCCGCCGCCGUAACAC
rnacentral:rRNA from 1 species